rnacentral:ncRNA from 2 species
CAGCGUCUUCAGGGCGGGGUGAGACUCCCCACCGGCGGUAGGUUCCGCGAGGAACGAGCCCGCGAGCGCUCCCGGCCCUUGUCGGGAGGUCAGCAGAUCCGGUGCGAUGCCGGAGCCGACGGUCACAGUCCGGAUGAAAGAAGACGGCG